rnacentral:rRNA from 1 species
ACGGGUGAGUAACGCGUGGGAACGUGCCCUUCGGUUCGGAAUAACUCAGGGAAACUUGAGCUAAUACCGGAUACGUGCGAGAGCAGAAAGGUUUACUGCCGAAGGAUCGGCCCGCGUCUGAUUAGCUAGUUGGUGAGGUUAUGGCUCACCAAGGCGACGAUCAGUAGCUGGUCUGAGAGGAUGAUCAGCCACACUGGGACUGAGACACGGCCCAGACUCCUACGGGAGGCAGCAGUGGGGAAUAUUGGACAAUGGGGGCAACCCUGAUCCAGCCAUGCCGCGUGAGUGAUGACGGCCUUAGGGUUGUAAAGCUCUUUUCUCCGGGACGAUAAUGACGGUACCGGAGGAAUAAGCCCCGGCUAACUUCGUGCCAGCAGCCGCGGUAAUACGAAGGGGGCUAGCGUUGCUCGGAAUCACUGGGCGUAAAGGGCGCGUAGGCGGCUGAUUUAGUCGAGGGUGAAAGCCCGUGGCUCAACCACGGAAUGGCCUUCGAUACUGAUUGGCUUGAGACCGGAAGAGGACAGCGGAACUGCGAGUGUAGAGGUGAAAUUCGUAGA